rnacentral:RNase_P_RNA from 1 species
AGAGCGGGCCGGACGGCCGCCGGCGUCCGACGAACGCGCGCGAGCGCGUCCGUCACGGCGCGGGAGGAAAGUCCGAGCUCCACAGGACGGGAUGCUGGCUAACGGCCAGGCGGGGCGACCCGACGGAAAGUGCCACAGAAAAAAGACGGCUCCCCGUAGUUGGCGCGCGCGUUCGCGCGGGCCGGCGAGGGAGUCACGGUGAAACGGUGCGGUAAGAGCGCACCGCGCGCGGCAGCGAUGUCGGCGGCGAGGUAAACCCCAUCCGGAGCAAUGCCAAAUAGGAGGCGAGGGCGCGCCCUUGUUGGGCGCGCCGCCGGCGGUCCGUCGGUCGUCGCCUCGGGUAGGCAGCUAGAGCGGGCCGGCAACGGUCCGCGUAGAGGAAUGGUCGUCGCCCCACCCCUCGCCGGGUGGGGGCACAGAACUCGGCUUACAGGCCCGCUCUUCGU